rnacentral:rRNA from 1 species
UGAGGAAUAUUGCACAAUGGGCGCAAGCCUGAUGCAGCAACGCCGCGUGCGGGACGAAGGCCUUCGGGUCGUAAACCGCUUUUCUGGGGGAAGAGCAAGGACGGUACCUCAGGAAUAAGUCUCGGCUAGCUACGUGCCAGCAGCCGCGGUAAAACGUAGGAGGCGAGCGUUAUCCGGAUUUACUGGGCGUAAAGCGCACGCAGGCGGCUCUGUUAGUCGGACGUGAAAGCUCUCGGCUUAACCGGGAGAGGCCGUUCGAUACUGCGGGGCUUGAGGUAGGGAGAGGAAUGCGGAAUUCCCGGUGUAGUGGUGGAAUGCGUAGAUAUCGGGAGGAACACCUGUGGCGAAAGCGGCAUUCUGGCCCUCACCUGACGCUGAGGUGCGAAAGCGUGGGUAGCAAACA